CAAUAGCGUAUAUUUAAGUUGUUGCAGUUAAAAAGCUCGUAGUUGGAUUUCGGGUGGGUACCGCCGGUCUCCCAUUGGGUAUGUACUGGCGUGGCCCGCCUUGCUGUCGGGGACGGUCUCCUGGGCUUAAUUGCUCGAGAAUCGGAGUCGACGAUGUUACUUUGAGUAAAUUAGAGUGUUCAAAGCAAGCCUACGCUCUGAAUAUGAUAGCAUGGGAUAACACGACAGGACUCUGGCCUAUCGUGUUGGUCUGUAGGACCGGAUUAAUGAUUAAGAGGGACAGUCGGGGGCAUUCGUAUUCCAUUGUCAGAGGUGAAAUUCUUGGAUUUAUGGAAGACGAACAUCUGCGAAAGCAUUUGCCAAGGAUGUUUUCAUUG
rnacentral:rRNA from 1 species